AUAAAGGCUCUCAUUCUAUGUCAGCUACUAUAUUGUGUGGGGAAAUUUGCCGUGUUGUAAGCCAACCAAUUAUAGUGCUCUGAGAUGCUAGUCUCGCUUAUCUUUUUUCUAUUAUUUAUGUAGACUUUUAUAUACUACUUAUCCUGUGUAUCAGAAGACUGUGGAAUCGUUGUAUGCUUUAUCUAAAGGGGAGGUAUUUCCCUUUUUACAAUAUACCACUAUGUUUGGUGGCUGUUUAUAGGACUGUGUGCACUAUAGAUGUUGGUUUAUUUAUAUUUUUUUGUGUGUGUGAGACACUUG